UAACCGUCAGUCUGGGAACACGGAGAUGCGUACUUGGCAUUCCAGGACUUGGAUCGAGGCCAGCGUUGCUUCGCUGUUACGCAGGACCCCAAGUUCUCCGCUGCUCUGGGAAGGGGAUGUGGGUGCAGAGGUAGCCAGAACGCAGAGGCGCAGGCAGCGCACAAAGUCAACCCGGGACGUUUCAACACAGAAGCACCACAACACACAUCGGGCGAUCGGAAACGAGAAGCUCAAACACUUAAUCAGUCUUCCUGGGCUCGACAACCGACCCGGGGCGGCCACGCUCGAAUCAGCUACUCACCUCUGCCCAAGUCGCUUCGCCUCUCAACCCCAGCUUACAGCGAACUUUGCUGCUGUCCCUGCUCCUUUAAGGGGCCGAGCGCCGGUUUCGCUGCUUCCGCCCGGAAGAGAGAGGGCAGAGGGCGAAGGGAGGAGGGUCCUGAGCGCCCGCAGGGCACGCAGGCUGGGAGGCCCGGCGGUGAUGUCACUCACCCGGCGGAGGAGGCUGAGUGCGGCAGUGAAGGCGCGGGAGCACCGGGGGGCCAACGAGCGGGCGGCAGGCUGCGCAGCCCUGCGCGCCGAGCACAGUUUAGAUCUUCCUUGGGGUGGUCUGCUGACCCUCUUCCUUCCAAGGACCUUGGUGCACAGAGCAGGGCCCAGAGGUCUGGAACCACGUAGGUGACAAAUGAUUAUUGACUCAAGUGAUUGAACUGCUCCUGGUGUCCUGGAGCCUGUCAUAGACCAGCUGCUGGGGCAUCUCAUCCAUAAGGCACAGCAGCUCCAGCUCUGCCUUGGAGAACACUUGCAGGGACCCAGGACAGCACAGACCUGCUCAGACAGAGGGCCUGUGGCCACGCUGGCUGCUGGGGGCUUUCCUGCACCUUCCCAUCACACCCCUGCAGCACUGACCCUGUGAGAGCAUCCCCUCGGGUUCCUACUCACACAUGAGGAAAUGCUGAGAGAGACAAAUCAUCGUCCCCACCACCCCAGCCCUCCACCUGGGAUUCCUGCCCCUUUCUUUCCUUGGGACUCUGGGACCUCCAUCCUCAGCUCAUGGCAGGCAGCCCUCCCGCUCCACAGAUGAAGAAGGCCCCAAGGAGGCUCAUCUGCAAGAGCUGGCCCUUGAAUGCAGGUGCACGGUCCCUGGACGGAACUGUCCCAGGGCCUGGAAGGCUGUGAACAGAGCCCCGUAGGCACCCACGGUCACCAGCACAUUCUUGAGUGGGUCCAACUCCUGUCCCAGGAGCUUCCCAAAGAAACUCGCCAGGAUCUUUGUCAGUGAGCUGGACUUUACCUUUUCUACAGAUGGGGCAUGUGGCUGCCCAGCUCAUCUUACAAGAGGACAAGGGUGGUAGCCUGCUGUUCUGGGCCUGGAAGCCCAAUGUAGAGGAGAGUGAGAAGAGGUGAGGCCUUGGGCCUGGCUGUCCCUUCUCAACAAGGAGCAUCCAAGAAGAUGUGCAAGAUUUCUGUAAAAUACAAAAUGCUGUGCAUUAGGGAAGUUUGAAAGAGUGGUUCUGCUUUUUGUAAAUAUAAAAGCCAACACUUUGUGUGUAUGUGUGUGAAAUAUAGAGGUAUCUGUGCCCCUUCCUAGAGGGCAGGAGUAAGGAUGACCAAUCUUUCUUACACAUCCCACCUUGUGUCCCUUGUUUCACUACUAACAAUGGGCACAAAUGCUUUUCCUUUUCAAAACAAGACUAAAAAAUAUUAACCUCUGCACAGA